rnacentral:rRNA from 1 species
GAUGAACGCUGGCGGCGUGCCUAAUACAUGCAAGUCGAGCGAACAGACGAGGAGCUUGCUCCUCUGACGUUAGCGGCGGACGGGUGAGUAACACGUGGAUAACCUACCUAUAAGACUGGGAUAACUUCGGGAAACCGGAGCUAAUACCGGAUAAUAUAUUGAACCGCAUGGUUCAAUAGUGAAAGACGGUUUUGCUGUCACUUAUAGAUGGAUCCGCGCCGCAUUAGCUAGUUGGUAAGGUAACGGCUUACCAAGGCAACGAUGCGUAGCCGACCUGAGAGGGUGAUCGGCCACACUGGAACUGAGACACGGUCCAGACCCCUACGGGAGGCAGCAGUAGGGAAUCUUCCGCAAUGGGCGAAAGCCUGACGGAGCAACGCCGCGUGAGUGAUGAUGGUCUUCGGAUCGUAAAACUCUGUUAUUAGGGAAGAACAAAUGUGUAAGUAACUAUGCACGUCUUGACGGUACCUAAUCAGAAAGCCACGGCUAACUACGUG